UUUUUUUUUUCUUUUUCUUUUUCCAAUGUGUAACCACUGAAGUGAAUUUGGGGUAUUUCAAGGGUCAAUUUAGGGAGACAACUGAAAAGCAGUACCUCGGAAAAAGGUUUUUUUAAAUAUUUAUAUACAUAAAAUAUACUUUUCAAAACGUCUUGAUCAGACAAGUAAUAUUUACCAUAAUUUCUAACAUAGCAAAUAUGACCCUAUUUUGGGGGGCUCCUUCUACACUUUCGGGUCAAGGCUACAAGUGGCCUUUGUUUCUGCCUUAACAUCAUAACGACUCACAGAGAUGUAAAUGUCUAAAUGUGGUGAUAAAAUGAGUCUAGGACAGGAUUACAUUAACUAAUAUACUUGGAAGUAGGAAAUGUUAAUAUUUCCUAAGACAAUAAUAUGUCCCUAGAUAACUUGUCCUUUUCAGUGAUAGAGUGAACAUCUGGAUAUAACAUACUGAGAUGUUCGAGUGACCAUCUUCAGAUUUUGUAUCUUGAUUAUAAAUAUAUCCUUCAUCCUGACCUUGGACAUUGAGCAAAUCCAUGUCUGUGUGCUUUGUGCAACUGUGCAUGUGGGAUGUGCGAGCAUGCAAAUGUGUAUGUGUGCGUCCCUAGCAGUUUGCAAAAAAAGAAAAAUAAUAAAGAGAAUGGUAGUGGACAGAAAUCGUUCUAGUUUUGAUAAGUUACUCAAAUAACCUGGAGCAAAGAAGAGUCAUUAGAGGAGUUAUCGGAAGGCAGGGUGGAGGUCUGUGCCAGAGCAAGGGUCGGGGGCCGAGGCAUUGAACCCCGGUUCAGCGGUUUGCACCGGAAUUCCACUAUGCGUUCACUCGUUCUUUUACAACCGAAAGUUCACCUUCUCUAGUCUUGAUUUUGCCUUUUGCGGGGAGGGGUCAGAAGGCGCCUGAGAUGCCCACUCCCCCUUCUAUCCGGGUGCUCGUGGUAUGCCGGACAUUGCGCACACAGGCGCGUUGGUUCCCGAAUCCACCCGGAGUGGCUCCCGGCAACCACUGGGGUAGACUCACGGAAGCCUGCACAUCCUGGCCUCCGGGGUCCAGAGCAGACUCCAUGAGGGCAGCAUCCUGGGUUGCCCCAGAGGUGGCAGGGACUCUUGGGGGAACAGUGUCGCCAUCACACUGGGCUGUUCGCCCUGCUUGGUAGGGGAAGGAGGGAGAUACUUUUUUUGCAGCCCCGCAUGGG
rnacentral:lncRNA from 1 species